rnacentral:lncRNA from 1 species
CGAUAGAGCUAGUCACUUGACUAUCUUCUCUCUAUGGGCUUGUGAUUACUACACUUACUUUCUAUUUUUUUAAUUGAAAAAUGUACAUUUUUUACAUUCUAUGAACGUUUAAAUUUUAACCUUUUUUGCAAAUAAUAUUUAGGAGUCAUCUGCUGAUAUUGUAUGGGGAGCAAGAGGAUUGGAGUUUCGAGGAGUGGAGGAGAAUUGAAGCCACUUUGGAGAGGGAGAGAGUGACUUGAACAGUGCAUCAUUAAUUGGAAUGCCAGGUUUCAGUUACCACCAUGCCAAUUACUUUACUCACAGCACAUCUUCCAACUUGGACUCAGCUGGAAGGUGAGAAACAGGAUUAUGGGGAAGCCAAUGCUGGGUCAUCAGUAAUUUAA